rnacentral:rRNA from 1 species
GUGCCAGCAGCCGCGGUAAUACGUAGGUGGCAAGCGUUGUCCGGAUUUAUUGGGCGUAAAGCGAGCGCAGGCGGUUUCUUAAGUCUGAUGUGAAAGCCUUCGGCUCAACCGAAGAAGUGCAUCGGAAACUGGGAAACUUGAGUGCAGAAGAGGACAGUGGAACUCCAUGUGUAGCGGUGAAAUGCGUAGAUAUAUGGAAGAACACCAGUGGCGAAGGCGGCUGUCUGGUCUGUAACUGACGCUGAGGCUCGAAAGCAUGGGUAGCAAACAGGAUUAGAUACCCUGGUAGUCCAUGCUGUAAACGAUGAGUGCUAGGUGUUGGAGGGUUUCCGCCCUUCAGUGCCGCAGCUAACGCAUUAAGCACUCCGCCUGGGGAGUACGACCGCAAGGUUGAAACUCAAAGGAAUUGACGGGGGCCCGCACAAGCGGUGGAGCAUGUGGUUUAAUUCGAAGCAACGCGAAGAAUCUUACCAGGUCUUGACAUCCUUUGACCACUCUAGAGAUAGAGCUUUCCCUUCGGGGACAAAGUGACAGGUGGUGCAUGGUUGUCGUCAGCUCGUGUCGUGAGAUGUUGGGUUAAGUCCCGCAACGAGCGCAACCCUUAUUACUAGUUGCCAGCAUUUAGUUGGGCACUCUAGUGAGACUGCCGGUGACAAACCGGAGGAAGGUGGGGACGACGUCAAAUCAUCAUGCCCCUUAUGACCUGGGCUACACACGUGCUACAAUGGAUGGUACAACGAGUUGCGAGACCGCGAGGUUUAGCUAAUCUCUUAAAACCAUUCUCAGUUCGGAUUGUAGGCUGCAACUCGCCUACAUGAAGCCGGAAUCGCUAGUAAUCGCGGAUCAGCAUGCCGCGGUGAAUACGUUCCCGGGCCUUGUACACACCGCCCGU